rnacentral:rRNA from 1 species
UUUAUAGCUUGCUAUAGAGAAUAGUUAGUGGCAGACGGGUGAGUAAUGCAUAGGAAUCUACCUAGUAGUAUGGGAUAGCCACUAGAAAUGGUGGGUAAUACUGUAUAAUCCCUGCGGGGGAAAGAUUUAUCGCUAUUAGAUGAGCCUAUGUUAGAUUAGCUAGUUGGUAGGGUAAAGGCCUACCAAGGCGAUGAUCUAUAGCUGGUCUGAGAGGAUGAUCAGCCACACUGGAACUGAGAUACGGUCCAGACUCCUACGGGAGGCAGCAGUGGGGAAUAUUGGACAAUGGGCGCAAGCCUGAUCCAGCUAUGCCGCGUGAGUGAGGAAGGCCUUAGGGUUGUAAAACUCUUUCAGUAGGGAAGAUAAUGACGGUACCUACAGAAGAAGUCCCGGCAAACUCCGUGCCAGCAGCCGCGGUAAUACGGAGGGGGCAAGCGUUGUUCGGAAUUAUUGGGCGUAAAGGGCAUGUAGGCGGUUCGGUAAGUUAAAGGUGAAAUGCCAGGGCUUAACCCUGGAGCUGCUUUU